AACGCACGAGACCUGCGGACCUGCGGAGGGAUCAUUACAGAGUUUUCUAAACUCCCAAACCUUUGUGAACUUACCACUGUUGCCUCGGCGGAAGCUAUUGGGGUUACCCUGUAGCGACCGCCGGUGGACCAACCCAACUCUUGUAAUUUUGAGAAAUCUGAGAGUCUUAUACAAAUAAGUCAAAACUUUCAGCAACGGAUCUCU
rnacentral:misc_RNA from 1 species